rnacentral:misc_RNA from 1 species
UCAAUUUUCUCCACUUGUAGCUCUGAAAAAAUUUCCAAGGUAAUUCAAUAAUUAUCAUCAUUGAGAACAAACAAAAUCCAUAUGUGGUAAGUGAAUUAGUAAAAAUUAAGUUGCAAUAGUACCAAGCAUGCAACAGCUAUGACAAAAGUAGGAUAAGGUUAGUGCCAAUUUGCAACUAAGGAAUGUAUUCUUGUCACAGAUAGCAGAUCUUUAAGCCAAAAGGAACUUCAUAAUAUGAAUACAUAAAUAAAGUAUACAUUUAAAUUAAUUUUGUAGUGUAGUUUCUCACAAGAAGCUUCAGAAAUUGAUAUCCUAGUACUGAAUCUGCCAAAUAUCAAGGUCGGUGUUUUCAAAAUUUUCAAAUACAUCACAUCUAUACGCACAUGUAACAUAGAAAGGGACCCAGCAAUGAGGCAUGUCUUCCAGAGAAGCAUAAUGGUUAUAUUAUCCAGCCAUGCAGAAGGUAGUUUGAGCCACAUAUCCACUGAAUCAUCACAGUCAACAGUAAGUAGAAAACAAAUAAAUGACUCUACUAAGUCAUAUAUAUAGUCCAUCCAUGAAAAAUCAACUACCAACCAUAGGACCAAUAUUAAAUAUCUGAAAACUAAAUUUGCUGGAUGCAGUUUCACACGUCACAAAAAUAUAUAUAACAUGGACACGGCUUAAGCCAAAUAAUUCCUAGUCCUAAAUUCCUCGGCAACAGAAACCAGCACAGAACAGCCAGAAGUACAAUGAUAGGUUCAUAUAAUAAACAAAGAAUAAACCUACAUACAAUCACACAAGUUCGAUUCUUGCUAAACUAAUGCACCAAUCUUUGGCAAACCAUAGUCCAACCAUGAACUAACAAGUAAAAAUUGAAUCUAAAACUAAAAACAACCAAACCAUUUGUUGAAAAUAUAGCCCCAAAAAAAAUAAAAUUUGGGCAAGAAGCAUUUAAUAGAAAGUCAACCAAAGAUGACAAACUAAGAACCAUUGCUUUCAUCAUAAUGAAAAACAUUAACAUAAAAUGCUAAGAAUUCAAUGUUCCAAGAAAAAGUACACAAAUACAUGCUUGAUGA